rnacentral:tRNA from 1 species
GGCGAUAUAGCCAAGUGGUAAGGCAAAGGUCUGCAAAACCUCUAUCUUCGGUUCGAAUCCGAGUGUCGCCUCCA